CCUCUGAGGAAUUUUUUCAGCGCUAUAAUCAACAAUGAGCCGUUCUGGACUCCUGUCGCUUUUGCGCCAUAAUCUUUGGUGCAACCGACCGAAUCAAGAGUCAAUGUUACUGAAUUCUGGACAAGCCCGGCCACCCAAUAUAAGAAACACUUUGUUGGAAAUGGCCAGACCUGAAAUAUUCGCAGGACUUAUUUGUUGUGGUUCUUUAUCUGCUAACUGCAAGGGUUCGGGGAUUGGCUAAGAUCUUUACAAAGACUUUUAAGGACUUCUUUUACCGAUUUAGUGGCGGACGUUCGUGUUUAAACCAUAAAUGAAACCGUUUAUGAACCAUAA